UACUGGAGGUCCGAACGGGUUGGAGCUGCAAGUCCUUCCGAUGACCUGUGUAUAGGAGUGAAAAGCUCAUCGAAUAUGGUGAUAGCUGGUUCUCCUCGAAAUAGCUAUGGGGCUAGCCCGUUAUGACGAACUUGUGAGGUAGAGCACUGGAAAGGCUAGGGGUGUCGAGAGGCAUUACCAAACCUUACUAAACUUCGAAUGCGCAAGGUAAGAUAGCGGAGUCAGACUGUGUGAGAUAAGUCUCACGGUCAAAAGGGAAACAUCCCAGACUCUUGACUAAGGUUCCGAAGAUAUGGCUAAGUGGAAAAGGAUGUUUUUCUGCUGAGACAUCCAGGAGGUUUGCUCAGAAGCAGCAAUCCUUUAAAGAGUGCGUAACAGCUCACUGGACGAGCGGAGAAGCGCCGAAGAUGAAAAGGAGCUAAGUCAUACACCGAAGUCGGAGAUUUAGUUGAAAAACUAGAUGGUAGAGGAGCGUUGUAUAUGGGGCGAAGCAUGAGCGGGAGCGAGUGUGGACUGUAUACAAGUGAAAAUGUUGGCAUGAGUAACGAAUUUUGAUGAAAAAUCAAAGCGCCGGAAGCCUAAGGAUUCCUACGCAACGGUAAUCGGCGUAGGGUUAGUCGGGACCUAAGGAUAAGUCGAAAGGCGAGGCCGAUGGAAACCAGGUUAAUAUUCCUGGACUUGUAUAUAGAAUGAAGCGGUGACACAUUGGGAUGGGUAUGAGCUUCUUAAGAAUUGGAGUUCUGAAGUCGAGACGAUCCUGCGCAAGUGGGAGGCUAUGUAUAGGAAAGACCGUACGUAGAGUAAGUAGAGACGGAGAUGAGGUACGCAAGUAUUUAAUCGUAUAGUUCUGAUGUCAAGAAAACCCGCUAAGUAUAUGUAUAUAUAACCCGUACCGAGAACAGACACAUGUAGGCAGGUAGAGAAUACCAAGGCGAACGGGAAAACUAGUGGAUAAGGAACUUGGCAAAAAAGCGGACGUAACUUCGGGAUAAGUCCUGCCUUGAGAAAUCAAGGUCGCAGCGAAAGUAAUGGGGGGGACUGUUUAUCAAAAACACAGCUCACUGCGAACACGAAAGUGGAAGUAUAGUGGGUGAUGCCUGUCCAGUACCAGAAUGUUAAGCCAGGAGGUGCAAGCUUCCGGGUGAAGCACUGGUAAACGACGGCCGUAACUAUGACGGUCCUAAGGUAGCGAAAUUCCUUGUCGGGUAAGUUCCGACCCGCAUGAAUGGCAUAACCAUCUCCAUACUGUCUUAUUCCUAGACCCGGUGAAAUUACAGUUCCGGUAAAAAUGCCGGAUAGAUGCGGUUAGACGGAAAGACCCUGUGAAGCUUUACUGUAGAUUGAUAUUGUGUCGGGGCAUAUGAUGCUCAGGAUAGGUGGGAGACUGUGAGCGUGGACUUUAGGGGCCAUGUGAGUCGACGGUGAGAUACCACCUAUUGUAUGUUUCGGCACUAACCUCUCGAAGAGGGGGACAGUGUUAGUUGGACAGUUUACCUGGGGCGGGUGCCUCCUAAAGAGUAACGGAGGCGCGCAAAGGUUAGCUUAUUACGGAUGGAAACCGUGAUGAAAGUGUAUUCGCACAAGCUAGCUUGACUGAGAGACUAACAGGUCGAACAGAUAGGAAACUAGGUGAAAGUGAUCCGGAUUUCCUGAAUGGAAGGGGAUCCGCUCAACGGAUAAAAGCUACUCCGGGGAUAACAGGCUAAUGGAGUCCAAGAGUCCACAUCGACGACUCCGUUUGGCACCUCGAUGUCGGCUCGUCGCAUCCUGGGGCUGAAGUAGGUCCCAAGGGUUGGGCUGUUCGCCCAUUAAAGCGGUACGCGAGCUGGGUUCAGAACGUCGUGAGACAGUUCGGCCCCUAUCUACCGUAUCCGAAGGCGACUUGAGAAGAUCUGUCCUUAGUACGAGAGGACCGGGAUGGACCAGCCACUGGUGAGUCAGUUGUACUGUCAAGUGCAGAGCUGAGUAGCUAAGCUGGGAAAGGAUAACCACUGAAUGCAUCUAAGUGGGAAACCAACUUCAAGAUAAGGUCGCCCAUCCGCGAGGAGUAAGGUCACUAGAAGACUACUAGAUAGAUAGGUAUCGUGUGUAAGCGUGGUAACAUGUUAAGCAGAGAUAUACUAAUAGACCGAGGAGCUUACUU
rnacentral:rRNA from 1 species